CUUCUAUAUGUUCUUGAAAUUCAUAAACUGGGGUCUCUUAUUUAUAUUCAAGUUUUAUGUUGUAAUAUUUUGCUUUAGGACUGGGGUUGUAGCUCAGUGGUAAAGCAUUUGCCUAGCAUGUGAGAGGCACUGGGUUCAAUCCUUAGCACCACAUAAAAAUAAAGAUCUUGUGCCCAUCUACAACUAAAAGAACAUAAAUAUUUUGCUUUAUAUAUUUAUAAGAUAUUCAUUAAUCCAUUCAUUAGUAUUUUUAUUAGGAUUGUGGCUCUGAAAUCUCAUAAUUAUCAGUAUUAUUAAAGACAUUGGGAGCCAGUGAAUGAUUUUGAUCCAGUUGGUGGCUGUUUGAAAUGUGUUUAUUUAUUUAUUGUGGUGGUAAGGAUUGAACAGAGCUUUGCACAUUCUAGACAGUCACGCUAUCACUGGGUUGUAUCUCCAGUGCCUGCAAUUGAUUUUUUUAAAAAAAAUUUUUAAAGAACAUUUAUCUGGUUGAGGUAACAGAAUCAGUUGGGGAGAUGGGAAUACAAGGAGGAAAGACAUUUUUAAAGAGUUAAAAGUGAUAAGAAAUACGUUUAUGUUGGCUAGAAUGGAAAGAAAACUUUUAAGUGACAUUGAUGAUUCUGUAUGAAGAAGACAUGAGAUAAUUGAGAUAACAAGGAAGAGACAGUUUAGCUAAAAAAAUAUUAUGAAGUUUGUGUUAGACAAAUUGGUGUGAUUUCUGUUUGAGUGAUUUUUAUUGUUACCUGAAUUUAGGUCCUUCUUAUUUUAUGCUUGAUAAUUUGAAUAUCUUCAUGAUUGGCUUUCCUUCCUGC
rnacentral:lncRNA from 1 species